GUCUAUGGCCAUACCACCCUGAAUGCACCCGAUCUCGUCUGAUCUCGGAAGCUAAGCAGGAUUGGGCCUGAUUAAUACUUGGAUGGGAGAAAGUGCUCAGAAGUCUGCGUCAGAAGGGAUCAUGGUUGUGCACU
rnacentral:rRNA from 1 species